CUUUGUUGUGGCAACCAAACUGUCCUCAGUGUUUGCCAAAGGAACUCUGGGAAGCAAAAUGGUGGUUAAGAAGCCCUAUCCUAGUAAGAUAGAAGGGUUUCCAAAGACAAUGAGAUCUGGAACAUUCUGGAAUUUCGGAGCCAUGCAGUGCAAUCAACCUCGAGGCUCUUCUAAGAAGUUUAAAGAAAGGAGCCACCAAUAGCAGUGAUCCUCUGAGACGAAGCCGCCCAACCCUGGGGGAUCACAAGUGCAUUCACGGAGCAGAGGACGCCGAAAAAAAGGUCACUCCACUACUGUUUGUAAUAGUGAAAAGUGAGAAAGCCU
rnacentral:lncRNA from 1 species